ensembl:lncRNA
GUUUGACGUGAAGCUCCAUCUGCUGCUGAAGCUACAGGUUAUUUUGCAUUUGUUAGCAGUAAAAUCACAGUUACGUAGAGGUAAAACACGCAUACAGAUGUCGGUUAGCAUUAAGUCAAGUCACUGGUUAAUCUCUGUCAAAGUUCCUUUUGUUGGCUUUAAGGGGUUGAAAUGACAUAAAUGUUACACGACAGGAUUGGUUGCACCAUGUUCGUUCCCUGUGUAGCUGGCAUGUUUCCCUGACUGCAGAGCAUGUUCCCUCCAAAGCAUAAAAUCCAUUGGUUGAUUGAACAGCGAGCCAUCUACCAUUCAAAAUGAAACCAACCAAUGCUGAGCUGGGCUGCUUGAGACAAUCAGAAGGGAUUUCCUGACCAGUGUCCCACCAUCGCUCUCUUUAUGAAGAGAAAUGUGACCACAAAACACAGA